GAUGAACGCUAGCGGGAGGCCUAAUACAUGCAAGUCGAGCGGUAGAGCCCUUCGGGGCUUGAGAGCGGCGCACGGGUGAGUAACGCGUACAUGACCUACCUUUAAGAACGGAAUAGCCCUGGGAAACUGGGAUUAAUACCGUAUGUGAUAAUAGAUAUAAGGAUUUAUUAUUAAAGCUUCGGCGCUUAGAGAUGGAUGUGCGUCUGAUUAGCUAGUUGGUAAGGUAACGGCUUACCAAGGCUACGAUCAGUAGGGGGCGUGAGAGCGUGACCCCCCACACGGGUACUGAGACACGGACCCGACUCCUACGGGAGGCAGCAGUAAGGAAUAUUGGUCAAUGGACGCAAGUCUGAACCAGCCAUCCCGCGUGCAGGAUUAAGGUCCUAUGGAUUGUAAACUGCUUUUAGUAGGGAAUAAAAUUUUCCAUUUAUGGGAAAC
rnacentral:rRNA from 1 species